GUUUACUGCCGUAUAGGCAGCUUAAGAA
rfam:Vibrio metschnikovii CIP 69.14 VIB.Contig147, whole genome shotgun sequence.